rnacentral:lncRNA from 1 species
CUUGAACCUGGGAGGCAGAGGGUGCCGUCAGCCAAGAUGGCGCCACUGUACUCCAGCCUGGGCAAGAGAGCUGGACUCCUUCUCAAAAAUAAAGAAGACUAUUAGGGUAUAGUGGCAGAGGGGAGAGAAUUCAGGAGACACUGUUGGUUGUCUAAUGCCUAAACUAUCUCUCUCAUUGCCUUUUUCCUUGAUAGUAAAGCCCUGAUUAUAUGCAUGUGUUCAUAGAAUUAAUCAAUCUUUAUACUGCUAAACCUUUGAGCUUCCAGUCCUGUGAGAUAAUACAAUCUCCAUAUUAUUUUCAGAAAGCUGUUAUUUGCAACCACACACAGCCUAACUGAUGAGAAGUGUUGGCAUGAGGUUUAGAAAUAGGCAGAGACCAUGAAAGUUUGGGAUGACUGAGGUGCAGAAUGCAGAAAGCACAGCAUUCUUAUGACCCAAAUUAGUUACUCUUCCACCCAGAACACCCGAAAUGGGAAAGCAAGGUUUUUGUAAUUAAAAAUACAGUUGUAAUUAAGAGAGAAAAUUGCUUCUGGGAGACAAAAUUGAACAGCUAUGGAUUAUACUCUGUAAAGUAAAGUUGUGAUGGACCAGCACUUGCUAAGAGUGACACCUGGCCUCUUUGGAGACUGUGUAGUGUGGUGGGAAGAAGCCUGGAUCAAGAGGCUUAAUUUUUUUUUAAUUACAGAUAGUAAAAUAGAUCACCUUUAUGGGGGUGUACAAUGGUAAGAGUUUUAACACAUAGACGUGACUACAGUCAAGAUGCAGAACAGUUAUAUCACCCCAGAAAAUCCCUCAUGCAUACCUUCAUAGUGAAACCCUCACCCUGUCCUGAUCCUUAGCAACCACUGAUCUGUUCUCUGUCCUUACAGUUUUGCUUUUCAUAUGUAUGGAAUCAUAGGGUGUGCAGCAACCUUUGUCUCUGGCUUUUUUCACUCAGCCUUUGAGAUUCAUGUUGCUGUGUGCAUCAGUAGUUUGUUCCUUUUUAUUGCUGAGUAGUUUUCCAUUGUAUAGGUGUACCACGUUUUUUAAUCCAUUGAAGAAUAUUUAGGUUGUUUCCAAUUUUGAGUGGUUAUGGAGAAAACUCCUAUAAACAUUCAUAUGCAGGGUUUUGUCUGAAGACAAGUUUCUAUUUCUGUAAAUACCUAGGAGUGAGAUAACUGGAUAAUAUAUUAAGUGUAUGCUUAACUUUGUAAGAAGCUACCACAAUUAUUUUCCAGAGUGAUGUGCUAUUUUGCCUUCCAACCAGCAAUGAGUAAGAGAGUUCAUUACUACAUCCUCAGCAGCACUUGCUAUCGUCAGCUUGUUUUUUCCUUUUUUUUUAAAGUUAUUCUAAUAGGCGUACGGUAGUGUCACAUUGUGGCCCUAAUUUGCAUUUCCCUAAUGACUAAUGAUGUUGAUCAUCUUUUCAUCUAAUUAUUUGCCAUCCACAUAUUUUCUUUGUGAAGUGUGUUCAAAUAUUUGCCCACUUUUUAAUUGAGUUGUUUUCCUUAUUGUUGAGUUUUGAGUUAUUUAAAUAUUCUGGGUACAAGUAGUUAUGUAAUUUGUAAAUGACUUCUCCUUUUCUGUAGUUUGUUUUUUCAUUCUCUUACCUGUCUUUUGCAGAGGAAAAUCUUUUUAGUGAAGUCCAGUUAAUUACCUUUUUUCUUUUAUUGUGUUUUUUUUGGUACAAAAAAUGUCUAAGAUCUCUUUACCUCACCUAAGGUCACAAAGUUUUUCACCGUAUGUAGUCUUUUAAAAAUUUUAUAGUUUUAUAUUUAAGAUCUGUGGUCUAUUUUGAGUUAAUUUUUGUAUAAGGUGUGAGAUAUAUAUCAGUGUAUUUUCUCCUUCCUCCUUCCCUCCAUUCCUUCUUUUCUUUCUUUUUUCUUUCCUUCCUUCCUUUUUUUUUUUUUUAAAGAAAGUUAAGUCUCUUUUUCCUCCUUUCUUGGGCAGAGGUGUGUUCAAUUGUUCCCACACCAUUUGUUGAAGAGGCUAUUCUUUCUCCAUUGAAUGGCCUUUGCACCUUUGUCAAAAAUUAAUACACUCUAUUUAUAUGGGUUUAUCACUGGACUCUCCAUUCUGUUUCAUUGAUCUAUGCGUCUAUCUUUGUCUAAUACUGUGCCAUCUUGAUUACUAUAGCUUCAUAGUAAGUCUUAAAAUCAGAUAGUAUGCAAUGGAACAGAAUAGAGAAUCCAGAAAUAAAGCCACGCACAGCCAUCUAAUCUUUUACAAAGUUGGCAAAAAUGAGCAAUGGGGAAAGAACUCUCUAUUCAAUAAAUGGUGCUAGGAUAGCUGGCUAGCUAUAUGCUGAAGAAUGAAAUUGGACCCCUACCUUUCACCAUAUACAGAAAUUAACUCAAGAUGCAUUAAAGACUUAAAUGAAGACCUCAAACUAUAAGAAUUCUAGAAGAAAACCUAGGAAACACCAUUCUAAAAAUCAGACUUGGGAAAUAAUUUAUGACUAAGUUCUCAAUAGGAAUUGCAACAAAAACAAAAAUUGACAAGUGGGACCUAAUUAAACUAAAUAGCUUCUGCACAGCAAAAUAAAUCAUCAACAGAGUAAGCAGACAACCUAAAGAAUGGGAGAAAAUAUUUGCAAACUAUGUAUCUGACAAAGAUCAAAUAUUCAGAAUCUAUAAGGAACUUAAACAACUGAACAAUCAGAAAACAAAUAACUCUAAUAAAAAUGGGCAAAGAGCAUGAACAGACACUUCUCAAAAGAAGACACACAAGUGGCCAACAAACAUAUGGAAAAAUUCUCCACUUCACUAAUCAUCAGAAACAUGCAAAUCAAAACCCACAAUGAGAUAUCAUCUCAUACCAGUGAGAAUGGCCAUCAUUAAAAUAAUUUUUAGAAAAUAGAUGUUGGUGAAGCUGCAGAGAAAAGGGAAUGCUUAUGGACUGUUGGUGGGAAUGUAGUUAGUUCAGGCAUUGUGAAAAGCUGUUUAGAGAUUUCUCAAAGAACUUAAAACAAAACUACCAUUCAACCUAGCAACCCCAUUACUGGGUAUCUACCCAAAAUAAAACAAAUCAUUCUACCAAAAAAGCACAUGCCCUUGCAUGUUCAUCACAGCACUAUUCACAACAGUAAAGGCAUGGAAUCAACUUAGCUGCCCAUCAACAGUGUAUUGGAUACAGAAAAUAUGGUACAUACACACCAUGGAAUACUAUGCAGCCAUAAAAAGGAAAGAAACUAUGUUCUUUUACAGCAACAUGGCUGAAGCUGUACACCAUUAUCCUAAGGAACAGAAAACCAAAUACUGCAUGUUCUCACUUAUAAGUGAGAGCUAAACAUUGGUACUCAUGGACACAAAGAUGGCAACAAUAGACACUGAGGACUACUAGAAGGGGAAGGGAGGGAAGAAGGGGGACAAGGAUUGAAAAACUAAUUUUUGGGUACUAUGUUCAGUACCUGGGUGAUGGGAUCAUUUGUACUCCAAACCUCAGCAUCAUGCAAUAUACCCAGGUAACAGAUCUGCACGUAUACUCCCUGAAUCUAAAAUAAAAGUUGAAAAAAAAAGCAGACAGUAUGAGAUUCUCCAACUUUGUUCUUUUAAAAAAGGUUUUUGGCUAUUUUGACUUUCUUUGUAAAUGUUACAAUUAAUUUGUCUAUAUCUAUAAAAAUUCAUGCUGGGAUUUUGAUUGAAAUUGCAUUAAAUAUCUGGAUCAUUUUGGGAGAGAACUGGUAUCUUAACCAUGUUGAAUUUUCCAAUACAUGAGCACAACAUGUCUCUUCCAUUAUUAGAUCUUAUUUAAUUUCUUUCAUCAUUGUUUUGUAGUUUUCAGCAUACAGAUCUUGCAUACAUCUUUGUUAGAUUUAUAUCUAUGUAGCUAGUUUUUCUGAAACUAUUGUACAUGUUAUUUUUUAAUAUUCCAGUUUUCAACUGCUCAUAUCUGGCAUGUAAACAACUCUUGACCUUGCUAAACUCAAUAGUUCUCAUUUUUGUUUUUGCGUUUUUUGAAGAUAGAAUUCUUUGGGAUUUUCUAUGUAUACAGUUCUGUUAUCUAUGAAUAAAGAGGAUUUUCUUUCUUUCUUUCCCAGUUCUGUGUCUUUUUUGGUUUUGGCCUUAUUACCUACGACAGGAUUUUCACGACAAAUUGGAGAAUUGGAGUUGUAUCCAUUUCAGCUGACACCCGGACACUUCUCCACAUUUGCGGAGUGAGUCCUAUUUGGGAGAUCUUGCACAGUCUCAACAAGAGUCCCUGAUGGUAGGUGAGAUCUUGCGGCUUCACCAGCCUAACUUCUGAGAUGAGGGACGUGAGUGGAGCUUUUCACCUGCUCCAGAUCUGCUCUGAAUGGUCUUUGUUAAGUGUAUGAAUUGAUACUAGAGACUGUUGAGAGACACUUACAUUUGGGGAACUUUUUCUGAGGCUGAGAAACUGGAAGACUCCUUGGCUCUGAAGGAGAAUUUCAGAGCUGGUUGUCCACACUCACCACAGGCCAAGGCUCCAUGGGGGAAGGACAGUGUGGAUACUGGAGGCCCAACUCCCUUGCCUAGCACCGUCUCCUGCCCUUGUGUCUCCCCAGCAUCUGAGACCUUCCUCCAUUGCAACAGCACCCCCCAACUGGUAGCAUAAGCACCUGGAUUUAUUUCCACUGUCCCAGCAGACUAGGAGCAUCCUGAGAGUAAGGGCUGUGGCUCGCUCAUCUCUCUAUGCCCAGCACAGAGUUUAGUGACUCUUCCCUGAAAGAAGGAAUGAAAGAUGAGUUCAUUUGAAUCCUGAACUGCAGGCCACUGGGUGUAAAAGGAAAGCAAAGCUCUCGCCCACCCACCCACACCUGAAAAUGUGGAUCCUUCAAACAAGUUUAGCAAACAGGCUUUGUUCUCAGGUACAGAGACAGCGUGACAUUGUGUGAGUUGCUCUUCCUUUCCCUCUGUCUCUUUAGUGUCUGAGCAAAAUGUUCUGCUUUUCAUUGUCGCUCUUCAAACAGCAUGUUAUUGUCAUGCUUCUGCCUCCUUUUAAUAAAGAGGAAUGAGGAGGGUUUUCUUGUACACGCAAAAUUAACACAAAUCAAAACUGCUGCUGUUCUUUGAUCCGUCCUGGACUCUGAUUCGUGUCAGCCUUUUCAUUUUCCCACUGAGAGUGUACAGCUCAGGAAGGAUUACACGGGGAGGAAAACCGCUUACCACUUCCCAUUUGAUUAACACAAUUUAAUGCAGCAAUAAUGCCAGGGAAGUUCAUUACCAGGGAAAAGCUCUGAUGCAGGCUGCCCACAGUGUCUGGGGACGGGGUCUUUUUAUUUAAAAUGCAAUCAAGCCCCUAUGGUGAGUGGAUCCGUGAAAUCCUUCCUAAGCUGGGGAAGGUGGAAUUGCCAUUUAAUGUAGACAGACAAAAAUCCCUCCUGUUUGUACAGCUUUUGACAAUUUAUUCACGCUGUCUACGAAUAUUUAGUGUGGCUUCUUAUGCUCAAAACCUUGGGAUGAAGAAAACUGAAAGGGACUGUACCCUCAUUGUGCUUACAGCCUAGAAGGGGAAGUGGACAUUUUUCAAAGACGAGCACAUUGCUGACAGGUCAGGAUGUCAUGAAGGGGUCGCGCUGGGAGUGUGGGAGCAGGUGGUGCAGCACCUGUCUGGGAAAUCAGGGAAAACCACCCUGAGGAGGUGACAUACAGGCCAAGCUCAGAAGCAUGAGUAAGAGUUGAUGUGGAACAAACACAAAGGGGAGAGGUAGAGCUCUUGAAGUUAAGAAACUCCUGUGUGAGUUGCGAGGCAGCAGGAGCCUGGCCCGCUAGCAACACUGUCAAGUUGUCCAUGUGCCUGGGGCAGAUGGGGCAGGGGACAGAUGGGGAUGGCACCGGAGAAGAGUUUUGACGUACCCAAGGCCCCAGGCUGCCUCCUUCUUGCUCUGUGGCAGCCUGGUGUGAACAACGUAGAGUCUCCCUCAUGGCCAAGGAAAGAUCAGGAAUGUGUGCUCUCUCAGCCUGGGCAAGAUGGCGAAACCCCAUCUCUAUAAAAAAUAAAAAAAAUUAGCCGGGUGUGGUUGGCGCACGCCUGUGUUCCCAGCUACUCAGGAGGCUGAGGUGAGAGGAUUGCUUGGGCCUGGAAGUUGGAGGCUGCAGUGAGCUGUGUUCAAACCACUGCACUCUUGCCUGGGUGACAGAGUGAGAUCCUGUUUCAAAAAAAAAACAAAGAAAGAAAGAAGGUGAGAGACAGAGAGAGGGAGAGAAAGAAAGGAAGGAAGGAAGGAAGGAAAAGAAAGAAAGAGGAAGAAAGGAAGGAAGAAAGAAAGAAAAAAAGGAAGGAAGGA